rnacentral:lncRNA from 1 species
UGGAGAGGCACAAUUCACCAGAAAAGACGAACCAGCGAACGCUUUCUGUCUAAACGAAAAUGAACUCGUAGAAAAUUCUUGGAAUACAACGAAGCAGUCGAUUCUUAGUAGUAGUAUACAGUGAGAGGCCCUGUAUGGAUCGUUUCAACAUACGUAGAUGUAAGACAGUGAGCUCGAAAGGCUACAAGUGCUACCGUACUCUCCUGUACCCGACCUAAGCCUAAAUAAAAUAGUGCCGCUUCGUUUAUUACCUUUUAAAUUUUUUUUUUUUUUUUUAAAGUACGCGGCGCUUCCGUCGUCUGCAAAGUAAUAGAUACGUCGAUAACGAUAUUUGUUUCUGAUCUCCUGCUCCGGACAGUCGGUCGACCUAGGUUGUUGACCCGACUCUUCAAUGUGUAUGUGUGCACCGGCAUCGAGUUAAUACUUGUGUGACGGUAUGUUGACUUUGUUUGGAGGCGUCGACGCCGUCUUCCACAAUCUGCUGCUCUAUCCAACGCUUGAUAUAACAUUCUUGCAGCCCAAUAUAACGGCCUCUAAGGCCAAGUGUCGGCAGAGGGGGCACGACUAUCCCCUGAAGCCUAGGAUAGUUGAGAUGAAUAGUUCGUCAAUCGCCGACUAUCAUCGAAUUCAGAAGACUCUACAG